rnacentral:tRNA from 1 species
CGUUCUGUGGCCUAGUUGGUUGAAGCGGCGGUCUGGCGAAUACGGAGUCGUGGGAUCAAAUCCCACCAGAACGA